UUCCUUUUAACAUUAUAAAUUCAGUGAAGUUAGUCACAUCAUUACAUAUGAUUCACCUAUCAAAACAAAGGAGAAAAAUAGUUUUGAUAUCCCACGUUAAAAACAAUAAUGUUAUUAGCGCGCUCAUCACUGUAAUUAGACUAUUAAAAACUGUAAAAAUGAGAAUUUUAAAACUCCAUGCCCACAUGUAAACCUUAAAAUAUUACCAUUAUAAUACGUAAAAAUACAAUUUAACGUUGUUGAUUAAAAUAGUGAUCAAAACUGCUUUCUAAAAGUAGAGUAGAGUGGGAGUUGUGAUAACACUGCAGAGAAGGAAGUUGUUCCAACAAUUAAAACGGUGGUAAAUUCAAAAUCACUAUCAAUGUGGUGGGAGGGGCAACCUAUUUGUGUGGAAUUAGUUCAGAAUCCAGCACAGUCCACGAAAUAUUAAAACUCUGGAAACAAUGCAUCAUGUCUUGGUCUAUGUAGAUGACCUGGUUAACUUAGCCCACAGUAAAUUUAAUAAAACAGUCAGAGAUAGAAUGCUACCGAUUCCCACUGAAGUUACAGAAUGGACUUCAAGUUAGG